AUAAUAAGAUGUUUAGAAAUCCUUUAUUUUUUCAACCUAAUCGCUCUUUUGACUUCGGAAAAAACUUUCUUUAUCAAUAUACUGUUUCUUCUACACACAUCUCCAUAAUCGAAAAUGGUAAUAGUUAGGAUUCAUUAAAAAAAUUGAGAACACACUCAUGGGACAAGAAACCCUUCCCGCACCAGGCACUAAUAAAUUUUUAACGUCUAAUUAGAUCGGGAAUCAUUCAAAUUAAGAACAAAAGCUCGUUGCUUUUUCUUUCCCUAUAAUUUAAUUGAAGCCGCAGCCUUAUCCAUUUAUUCAUUCGACCCAACUUUAUUUUGUUCCGUUCCAAGAAUUCUAACACAGUUUUAUACCCAUCUAGGAACAAUGAAAUAUUUUCAGAACUUUCCGUUGAUACGACAUGCUAUUUUUACCAUUCAUUCCCUUUCAGGAUCAGUCGCGGUCUUCCAAACUUUACCGAGAGUAUGGACGAAUCCCUCACCUCAUCCAUAUGUGUAAAAGACACUAGCCGCACUUAAAAGCCGAGUACUCUACCGUUGAGUUAGCAACCCGAAGAAAAUAUCGAAAAAAUUAUGUAGAUCCAAUCCGAAGAAAAAGAAAUAACUAGAUUAGACAAGACAACCAAAAACCAUUGAAAGAAGAAAUCGAAAAAAAUACAUUCACACUUUCGAAUUCAUUUAAAACAUAAAAUAAAACUAAAUAGAUCCACUUCAUUUAUCACAAUGAAUUAUAUUUGUUCGAUACACUGUUGUCAAUAUAAAUAUUGAAUAUUGAAAAAAAAAAAGUGGAAAACAAAACUACAAUUUACUUAAAUUUACUUAGAUUUAUUGAAUUCAUAAUGGAUUCAAUCAAGUUAACUGAGAUAAGCAAACUUGAUUUCAUUCCGAAAUGCCCGAAUUAACUAUUUAGAAGAUCAAUAAAAUAAGAGGUUUUGUCGUUAUAGAACACGGAAUUCACUGGAAGCAAUGAUAAAUAAAUACAAAUAGAAAAGGAAAGGGAGGAAAUACAAAAAAAUAGAAGAGAAAAGUCAUACAAAGUUAUAUACAAAUCACUACCCCCUUUUUUGUAUUUCCUUAAUUUAUUUCCUUAAUUGAAUUUCGGUUGAUUAAGACGAAGUUCCUUAAAAACCUCUGCCUUCUUUAAAAUAUCCUGAACAGUUUCUGUAGGUUGAGCCCCUUUUUCAAGGAAAUAUAAAAUAGCAGGAACAUUUAAAUAAGUUUGAUUCUUUAUCGGAUCAUAAAAACCCACUUUCUGAAGAUCUUUUCCUUCUCUUCGGGAUCGAACAUCAAUUGCAACGAUUCGAUAGACGGCUCAUUGGGAUAGAUGUAGAUGAACAACACCCCCCCUAGAAACGUAUAGGAAGCUUUCUCCUCGUACGGCUCGAGAAAAAUGAUUGAUUCGAAGUUUUGUCUUUGUAUGGAAUUCUAUCUAAGAAAUGACAACUGGAUCCAUAAAAUGAUCAAAGCAAUUAAAGAUCUAAGUCUUUUUUUCUUCGUUCUUCCUUAAAAUGAAAAAUAAACCAUUCGUACUCUCAUAACUCAAGUUGGAUAACUUUCAAACAGUUCAAAGGAAAAUCUUUCGGCAAUUUCAUUUAUUGAGCGGUCUUUCCUCCUUUUUUGUUUGUCUCGUUUAAAAUCGGAUUCUUCAGUCUGAUCCAGUUAUUAAGACAAUUAAAAAGGUGUUUCCUUGUUCUGGGAUCCUUUAUCUUUGUUUUAUUUUAAAUCAUUGGGUUUAGACAUUACUUCGGUGCUUUUUAAUCCUUUCAAAAUGGCAGCAACAUACCCUUUUUGCGAUUUUUAUGAAAGAAUCCUACAAGAUGAUGGAUUCCCUCGUGAAACACUUUGGAUCGAAAAAGUUUGAUCAAUUCCAAUAAAUUUUUUAAUUUGAAACUUGCUCGAAUUGGAUUCUUUCGAUUUCCAUACCUAAGAUAUAUUAGAUAUAUUUACGAAGUUGUUUCAAUUGUUUUAUUGAUUGGCAUUAACCCUAGACCCUUGCCCCGAGAAAGAAAUUAAUACUUUCUACUCGAGCUCCAUCAUGGACUAUUUACAUUCCAAGACAACAAAAAACGAGGGGUUCUAGUGAAACAGAACCAAUGAUGUCGAGUUAAGAGCACCUUCAUUCCUACAAAAAAUGGUGGAUGUACAAAUCCACAACGGAUCGUGUCCUUCAAGUCGCACGUUGCUUUCUACCACAUCGUUUCAAACGAAGUUUUACCAUAACAUUCCUCUAAGAACCGGUAUGGAAUUGAUUCAAUUAUGGAAUCAUGAAUAGUCAUUGGUUGGGCUGAUGUAUAAACACCAUAAUCUAAAGUAUUUUCUAUAUCUUCUAUAUCUAUAGUAUAUAGAUAUAAAUAAUACUAUAGAUUAAUACUAUAGAUAUAGGGUGGAUAAAUAUUUUUCUGAAGAAGUCUUAGUAAGACCCCAUCGCUAAUAUUAAAUUGUCUAACAUUAUAAUAUUAAUUAAUAAAUAUAUAUAAUAAAAAAUUUUUUUAUAUAAAUAAAAUAAGACGAAUAAACGAAUUCUUUUUAAUUCUGCAUCUUCACGUGACUUAAUAGGAGAGAAAGAUUCAGCUUCUAAGGAAUGAUUUAAACUAUUUCUCUUUCGAAAUUUCGAAUCAAUUUCGAAAGUUCCCCUCUCGACAUCAUUAUUCCAAGAAAAUUUGAUAGUUAAAAAUAACUUUUGAUCAUCUUAGGAAAAAAGAUAAGUCUUUUUUUUUUUUUUUUCAUCUGAUUAAUAAAAUCCAAAGAAUGGGGAGGGUUUCGUAUCUAUCAAUUCGAUCAAAUAGACUGAGCAAUUGUCACCGUUUAUAGAUAUUGAAAUGAACGCCUUCCCAUCACUGAUUAACUCCUAUCUACCCCAUUCUCUGGGACUGAUGCAGCAUAAAUCAAAAGAAGGGGAUGUCCUAGUCUUUUUUUUACGAAAUGCGAGCUGGCUGGGCACAAAGCCAAACAAGCCCAGAUUAAGUCCAGUUUUUGCUCCUUUUUUCUAUUUUAGCCUACCUCAUUGAUUAAGAAUUAAGAGACUUAGUGAAUUGAAUUAGUACCAAAAACCCCUUCUUGGCGAAAAGUCAAGAAAUCCACAAAAAAGCAAAUUGAAUCUAAUUAGGCUAAUUUAGGGGGUAGAGAAUAUGAGAUAGGGAAUAUGGAUUCUUUCGUAUCUCGAUUCAGUUUUUGAAAAAAAAAAAAACGAUUCAUCGAAGAAAAAAAUCAGAAACAACAAUCACAUUCCAGCUAACAUUUCGAUUUUAAACAGAACAUUGUUAAAAAAGCAAUCUAUAUUGUCAGAGAAUAUAUAUGUUCUGGGACGGAAGGAUUCGAACCUCCGAAUAGCGGGACCAAAACCCGUUGCCUUACCACUUGGCCACGCCCCAUUUAGAUUUCUAUGCGAUACUAAUAAAGUAUAUUGCUGGUUUUGUUUGUUUGUCAACUCUAGCCCAAAUAUCUAUAGAAUCGAUUAGAUUGGUAUUCGGAUUUUUCUAUGUUUUUGGUAUGUGUAGAUAUAGAAUUCAACUUAAUUUAUUGAUCAUUACAUAUAAUUCAAUUAAGAUAUUGUAUGAAAAUAUUAUUUUUUCGAUUCUCCUUUUCUCAAAGGAGGAUUUUUGAUUGGGUGGGUUCAAAGAAAAAGAAGGAUUUUUUGUUUACCUUACUUACUUUCCUUUUCCUUAUAACUUACUUUCCUUUUCCUUAUAUAAAUAACUCAAUCAAAAUGCAAUUAUCUCCAAGAACAAAAAGUCUGUUAUGCUUAAUACCUUUAGUUUGAUCGGUAUCUGUCUUAAUUCGACCCUUUAUUCGAGUAGUUUUUUCUUCGGCAAAUUGCCCGAGGCCUAUGCUUUUUUGAAUCCAAUCGUAGAUAUUAUGCCAGUCAUACCUCUGUUCUUUUUUCUCUUAGCCUUUGUUUGGCAAGCUGCUGUAAGUUUUCGAUGAGAUCCUUAAUAAUAUCCUAGAAAAUUCAUGAUUUAUUCGAGAAAAAAUUCGAAAAUCAAUAAAAUCAGAUAAGCUUUACCGUUUGAAAUCUCGAUUCAAACAUUGAAAUUCUUGGAUAGUCACGAGAAAUCCGGCUUAACUUAAUUUCCUUCUUUUUUGGCGCUUUCCUUUCCAGUGAAAGACCUUAUUAGGCUCCUCUUGUAUAUAUAAAAAAUUUGGUUAAUGACAAACUCUUAUUAUAAAAGAAUUUCUGAAAAUUCUUUUAGAGAAAAAGCUUCGUUGCUUGGUGUCAAACUAGGAUAUGCGAUGGAUGAUCUAUUCUCUUUUUUUUUUUCAAAAAAAUCAUCUUGGAGAUUGUGUAAUGCUUACUCUCAAACUCUUCGUUUACACAGUAGUGAUAUUUUUUGUUUCUCUCUUCAUCUUUGGAUUCCUAUCUAAUGAUCCCGGACGUAAUCCUGGACGUGAAGAAUAAAAUAAAAAAGUUUUUUCCUUGCUUGAUUUUCAAAUUUUCUUAGGAUUUGGUCUAUUCCACACAUUUAACUAAGAAUAAGAACAAAGGAUUUCGAAAUUUGAAAAAAAAAAAAUCAAGUCAUCAACGGAAAGAGAGGGAUUCGAACCCUCGGUACGAUUAACUCGUACAACGGAUUAGCAAUCCGCCGCUUUAGUCCACUCAGCCAUCUCUCCCAAUUGAAAAAGAUAAUUAAUACAUGAGAUAGCACAUUAAGAUAAAGGAAAGAAUCUUUCUUUCUCUCUUUUCUUCUUUCUAUAUUAUAUAGAUAUGUACAACUUUUAUCAUCAAUUUCCUUUAUCUCUUUAUCUAAAGUAAAGGAAGGGCUCAGAAGAGCCAAGAAUCUCAAGAAAAAUAAAGAAGACCUCUUUUCUUUGUCUUGAUUUUGUUCGAAAGGACCCUCUUAUUCUCAUGGCCUGGUCUGGUCAGUACCCAGCCGGGCCUCUUUUGUUCCAAUUAAUUUGAAAACAAAAAUGUCUGUUAUAGUUGUAAUAUUUCAUUUUAAUUGAAUAGUUAAUAUUCAAGCAACAAGAAAAAAUUCCCAUUUUUUAUAUUUUUAUAUAAAG
rnacentral:lncRNA from 1 species